AGACAACUCCGUCAGUGCUAUUUACACUCUGGACUAGCCUUUACCCGAGGUCACAUGCUUGCUGUCUCUUUCCCCUUCCCUGUCUUUUCCUCUGUCUCAUAUAGGUUUUUCCUAAAGAGAACUUUCACAGUAAAUCAUAUGUGCCUGAAUUCCUAUCUCAGGCCCUGCUUCUAGGGAAUUCUACUUAAGGUGGGCCCAAUGUAACGCAAGAAGCAGCAGGAGGCAAAACAAGACAGUAUAUGAGGGCUGCCCGCAGGAGAAAGAAUUGAUUGUCCAGGGCAUUAGUAGAUGGAAUGGGGCUAUGAGCCAAUGAAUGCUGGCAGCUUCUAGACUCUAGAAAAAGCACGGAGAUGGAUUUUCCCUUAGGACCUCCAGAAGGAAAGCUCUCCAUCAGACUUCUGACCUACAGAACUGAGGAUUUCCUACACAGCACAAUUGGGCUCCUGAGACAUCUACACAGUUAUACAUCUGAAGGUGGGUGGAUUGGAUCCCUGGGAAACAGUAGAACUAGGGUGCAGAUGGGGUCUCAGCAACUCAUAUGGGAGUUCCCAUUUGUUCACGCAGGACUUCACACGACUUCUGGAAAUCUCAACGGAGUGAAUCAAAGGUUGUUUAUAUUUCUGUUGGACUACAUUUUGGAUUUUGUAAAUUCAAGAGGAAAACAUGCAUCAGAUCCGUUUAUUUAAAGCAAUGUAGUGAUCAGAAGAACAAUUGAUUAUUUAAAGCUGCUUGCCUCUCUUGGAACCCUCUGUGGUCAAGCUGACACCAAAGGCCUCACAGGUGAGGGCAUGAAGACCAGCAAUUACCCUUUGAUCUUAAGAUCACUCCAUUACAUGUUUCUUUAUCUUCCUUUUUUGUUUCUUUUCUUUAUGUGAAACCAUAUGUGCUGUCAGGAUAAAAUCAUUUCACAUGUUCAAAGUAAACAAAACUGCUCAUUCUGGUCAAACAUGCCUCAGAAGUUUC
rnacentral:lncRNA from 1 species